GAAUUCUCUUAGCUUUUCCUUGUCUGUGAAGCUUUUGAUUUCUCCUUCAAAUCUGAAUGAGAGCCUUGCUGGGUAAAGGAAUCUUGGUUGGAGGUUUUUUCCUUUCAUCACAUUAAGUAUAUCAUGCCACUUCCUUCUGGCCUGCAGAGUUUCUGCUGAGAAAUCUGCUGCUAACCUUAUUGGGGUUCCCUUGUAUGUUAUUUGUUUCUUUUCUCUAGUUGCUUUCAAGAUUUUCUCUUUGUCUUUAAUUUUGGUCAGUUUGAUUAACAUUUGUCUCCGGGUAUUCCUCCUUAGGUUUAUUUUAUAUGGUACUCAUUGCACUUCCUGGAUUUGAGUGAGUGCUUCCUUUCCCACGUUAAGGAAGUUUUUGGCUAUUAUCUCUUUGAAUAUUUUUUCUGUGCCUUUCUCUCUCUCUUCUCCUUCUGGCACUCCUAUAGUACGGAUGUUGGUGCAUUUAACAUUGUCCCAGAGUUCUCUGAGACUCUCUUCAUUUGUUUUCAAUCUUUUUUCUCUUUUUGUUCUGCAUCCGUGAUUUCCACUAAUGUGUCUUCCACCUUACUUAUUCGUUCUUCUGCCUCCUGUAUUGUGCUGUUGGCUGCUUCUAAUGAAUUUUUUUCAUUUGUUAUUGUAUUUUGCCUCUCUUCUUGCUUAAGUUUUAUAUCUUGUAUCUCUUUGCUCAGUGUUUCCUGUAAGUUAUCUAUCUUUGCCUCCAGUUUGUUUCCAAUGUCUUGCAUCAUCUUCAGCAUCAACAAUCUAAAGUCUUUUUCCUGGAGGCUGAGAAUCUCCUGAUCACUUAGCUGAUUUUCUGGGGUUUUUUCUUUCUCCCUCAUCCGAGUUAUAGUUCUCUGUCUUUUCAUUUUUAUAGGUUUUUGGUGUUGUGACCUUUUUCCAGAUAAUAGAGUUGUAGCCUCUCUUACUUCUGGUGUCUGCUCCCCUUGUGGCUGAAGUUGGUAUGGGGGGCUUGCUGUAGCCUUCUUGAUGGGAGGGACUGAUGCCUGCCCACUGGUUGGUGGAGCUGCUUCCUAUCCCUCUGGUGGGUGGGGCUUUGUCUCUGGAUGAGAUUAGAGGUGGCUGUGUGCCUGGGGGGUCUUUAGGCAGCACAGCAAUCUUGUUUUGCUAUAGGGACACAUUGACCGAAUACUGACUGUGGUCUAUACCCAGGAUUGGAGAUGAUUAAGAGAUGUAGAGGAGACAGAAAUGAUUAUGCUUCUGAUCCCAUGGGUGGUGGUGGGGGGGGGUUGAAUCAUAGAGUAACUCUUGUCCUGCCCUAAACUGAGGGUUUCUUUCAAGAAUGUGGGACAUAGAGUUGUGGAAAUGACUUUGGAAAAUGCACACACAUAUAUACACACCCACAAAAACCUCCCAGAAAAAGUGGAGUUGUUUGGUGGAGGAUGUUGAAUGCCUGAGAGUUUCUUCUUGUCGUUUGUCUGGGGGAUAAUUCAGGAAAGUCUGGUGUGGUUGUUUUCUGUUUAGAAAGGCUUUAAAUUGAAAUUUACAGGCUUACGUUCUUUUCCUUUUAUAUUAGAUAAGUUGAACAACCACACCCAUUUCUCAGAAAAACUUGAAUCUAUCUUUGGUAAUUUUGUUUUUUACUUCCUCUUUAUUGAGAUGUACCUGCUGGUCAUGAGUUUGGCUGUUGGGGCAAUGCCAAAUUGCUAUAAACAUUUUUUUUGAGAUAUAGCUAACAUAACGUUAUGUGACUCUCAGGUGUAUAACGUAAUAAUUCAAUAUAUGUGUAGAUUGUGAAAUGAUCACUGCAAUAAGUCUAGUUAACAUCCAUGAUCAUUUUUUAAUGAAAUUCAGGCAAUAUGUAUUUAUUUGUUAGCAGCUAUAUGUCAUUUCUUAUUAAAAUCUGAACCAUUAUGUUUCCUGAAGAAUAAAACAUUUUAAAAUAUAAGGAACCAAAUAUGAAAACUUCAACUCUGGCUCUUUGUAUAAAGCGUUUGUAAAAAGAUUUAUAUCCUAUGUCAAUUGCAAGACAGAAAACUUUCCGUCUGAGAAAAAAGCUUUUUUUUUUUUCUUUUUGGCUGCACUUACCACAUGCGGUAGUUCCUGGGCCAGGGCCACAGUAGUGAUGACGCUGGGUCCUUAAUGUGCUGUGCCACUGGGGAACUCUGAAAAAACCUUUUUAAAGUUAUUUUCUUGUAAUAAUGGACUUGUCUGAUUAACUGAUGUUGACUUACGCUUAUUUGUAAAAUUAAUAUCGGAAGUGUCAUUUAUUUAUUUAUUCAUUUAUUUAUUCAUUGGCAUGUUGGAGUUUCCUGCAGCUUAGCGGUUAAUGAUGCAGCAUUUUCACUGCUGUGGCUUAGGUCAUUGCUGUGGUGUGUGUUUUAUCCUUGGCCUGGGAACUCCCACGUCAUGGGUGUGGACAAAAAAAAAAGUCAUCCUCUUAGGCUGGUCUAAUGAAAAAUGAAACAAGCCAUUGCUGGGCAUGAUCUGGUGUUUCCUGUUCUACUGCUCAGCAGGGAGCUGGAGCUUACCAGGUAAGGAACAGCUGUCCUCUAGCCAAUGCAUGGUUAUUUACUGCCCACUCUUAAUCACAUCACAUUAUAAGAGUAGAAAGGGCCCAGAAAAGAAUUCUAUAAUAAGAUUUGAGCAGGAGGCCAGAUUCAUUAUCAAGUAAUUUAGCCCCAGAAUUACUUUAAUGGCCAUUAAAAUAGAAUUAAACUAUUCCCCCAUGACUGAAGCUUAAAUCUAUGACAAUUAAAUUAUGACCUCUUCAAAGUAGCUGGUAGUACUUAAAGUUUUCUGGGAUAAGAACCCUUUCAAAAAUCUGCUAAAAUUUCUGGAUUUUUUUUUUUCCUUAGAGCAAUACUUAUAAGUCCUAAAUAUACUUUUAGUUAUUCUACUGACACCCCUUUCUCUUCCAGAUUAUCCUUAAACCUUGGACAUUUCUUAUAAAAGCUAUGGAAUCCUGCUUGAAUGCAAUAUACCUUGCCCUUACCGAUAUAGCUUGGUGACUCUAGGAAAGUCUUUUAAAUGUGAGCAACUUAAUUAAUAAUAAUAAUUAUUAUUAUUUUUUUGUCUUUUUUUUUUAUAGCGCAGCACUCAAGGCAUAUGGAGGUUCCCAGGCUAGGGGUCUAAUUGGAGCUGUUGCUGCUGGCCUACGCCAGAGCCACAGCAAUGCCAGAUCCAAGCUGCGUCUGUGACCUACACCACAGCCCACUGCAACACCAGAUCCUUAACCUACUGAGCAAGGCCAGGGAUUGAACCCACAACCUCGUGGUUCCUAGUUGGAUUCAUUAACCGCUGCGCCAUGACGGGAACUCCUUAAUUAAUAAUUAUUAUGGUUUUUUUUCUUCAGUGUUGGUACAUCACCCACAUUCGUUUGUAGAUUAAACAAUAUAAUGCAUUUAAACGUUCCCAGCAUUGUGCCUGCUGUGCAGUGGGCCAUUUUUACUGGCAAAUACAAUUGUCAUGUAGAACACUUCAUUCAUUUUAGUUGGUCAGCAGACUCAAGACUUCCUAGAGGAAAGGCCCCCUGAGAAGUUAACUAAUGAUCAGAAGAUUCUUAGGAGAGCUCAGGACCAGAGUAGUGAGAGUUAGUGGGCCAAUGACAAUGUCUCUACAUUCAUCUAACUAACUCUUAGCUCUUGCAUCUCUCUGCACUUGCCAACAGCAGGUACUCAAAGAGACCAGAUGGGGCACCUUUCUCCCUGGAGGUGUGUUGGCAAGUUCUAACAAAUUGUCUUCUUCAAGGAUCUAAGCAGGCCACAGGUGUUAACACAGCUUUCUUCAGACUGGCUACUGUAGAGCAGAUCCUGGGGCCCCUUGCUGGUUGUCAUUCCAGCCCUCACCUGGUUGUGUUGAUUUGACCAUGUCUUCUAUGGAGGGUUAAUCAUGCUGCUUAUGGGCUUUUUGAUUUUGAUUGCCAAAUUAUGGGAUGACUGGUAGUCUUUUUUUUGCUUUUUAGCUUUUUACGGCCACACCCACGGCAUAUGCAGGUUCCCAGCCAGGGGUCCAGUCGCAGCUACAGCUGCCAGCCUACACCACAGCCACAGCCACAUCAGAUCCAAGCCUUGUCUGCGAACUACGCCACAGCUCACAACAACUCCAGAUCCUUAACCCAUUGAUUGAGGCCAGGGAUCGAACCCGCAACCUCGUGGCUCCUACCCAGAUUCCUUUCCACUGUGCCAGGACAGGAACUCUGACUGGUAGUCUUUUGUACAGUACUACAGUCUGCAGUAUUGUUGAGCCUAGUGUUGUGCACCUGUUUAACAGACUCAAAAGACUUGUGUUAUGUAACCAGGCAUCGCAUCUACCCUGUGCACAUAUGAAGACUGCCUUUGAUUGUGGGAAGGACUGAUGUGUGGAUGGAGUGAGGACCCCUGGCUUUACAGUCAGAUCUGUGUUGGAAUCCCUCUCUGCCACUUACCAGCCUUUCAGCUCAGUCAUCAGUGUAGAUAUUACUGUGCACCUAUCCAUGGCCUCAAAUGAACACGCACUAUCUGUUCCUUACUGGUGAUUAUCUUGAUGAUGAUGGCUUGUGGCUACUCACAUUUCCUUCUUCCCUUCGCCAUGCUGCGUGUUCGUGGCCUGGAACCCCAUCUUUGCCUCCAAAGGAACAUCUGUUGAUUUGUUUUUGAUAAGUGACCAGUUUUCUCAGAUGCAUGGAUGGAAAAAAAGAAUCAUCUACUAUCUGUCUUGGAGGUUUAUCAUUGAGUAUGUUACUCACAUUCCUAAUUUAACCAAUCGAUCUGGCUGAUAACAAAGUUCAUGCUGAAGUAUGUGUUCUAUGGAAUGUGGGGUAAUGUAUAAAUAAGGAUGGUUUUUUUUGCUUGGAUUAUUUGCUUUGGAAUUUUUAAGAAGUUUAGAUUUUAGUCAACUUGGACUCAUUGCCUUAGUUUUUCUGACAAGGUUCACAUGUUGGGUUGGUUUUCCAGAUCUCUGCAACAUCUUCUUAGGUUCAUUUCUACCACAGUUUUUAGGAAUUUGCCAUUAGUUCUUAAGCUUAUGAGGGAAAGUGAUUUUUAUGUGAGAGUUGGGUUAGAAUCUAAAGAAUCAUUACUCGGGUCUGUCUGGAAUUUAACCCAGUCUCUUUGCUUUCCUUGGAUUGUACCCAAAAUCAACCCUGGAUGGUUUCUCCCAGAAUUAGUUCCCCCAGGAGUUCCUGUUGUGGCCCAGUGGGUUAAGAACCUGACUAGGAUCCAUGAGGGUGCGGGUUUGAUCCCUGGCCCCACUCAGUGGGUUAAGGAUCUGGUGUUGCUGAAAACUGUGGUGUGGGUCACAGAUACGGCUGGGAUCCUGCGUGGCUGUGGCUGUGGCUGUGGUGUAGGCCUGCGCUGGAGCUCCAAUUUGACCCCUACCCUGGGAACUUCCAUAUGCCGCAGGUGUGGUCCUAAAAAAGCAACAAACAAACAAACAAACAAACCCCAAACCCAAAUCCCCCCCCCAAAAAAAAACCAAACCAAACCAAACAAAACCAGAAUUAGUUCUUCCAGACUCUUCCUCUCAAAGAAAAUACGCCCUACACUGGAGGUCAUGUCUGGAGUUUACUAACCAAGGAAGACCAAUGACUGUUCUUAGUUUUAUAGCAAAAGAUUCUCAAAGGUUUUCCAGUGUAGUUUAUGGAGCAUUGAUGUAUACUUUCAGCGGCGUUGUUUUACUAACUCUAUCCAUCCUGUUGGUGGAAUGAAUUACAAAGCCAAGUCAAAACUAAAUCACAUUCAUUUAAAAUAAAGUUCGGGUCUUUGUUAUUAUUGUCAGCCUGAAAUCUGUACAGUCUUAGAACUCUUAUUUUUUUAGUUUAAUGUAUAAGCCUCAUUUCAGGGGGAGGGAUGGCGGGGUGCUGCUGCCCCACGGCAUAUGGAGUUCUCAGGCCAGGGGUCAGAUCCAAGCCACAGUUGCGACCUAUACAGCAUCAGCAGCAAUGCUGGAUCCUUUAAUCCACUGUGCUAGGCCAGGGAUAGAACCUGCGUCCUGGUGCUGCAGAGACACUGCUGAUCCCGUUGCACCACAGUCGGAGCUCCACAAGCUUCGUUUUGGUCAAAGUACAACCAUAUUUGCAACAUCAGACUACAUAUUUUGCAAAUGGUGAAUGAGCCUAUGGUCAGUGAGAAUCGUGUUUGCAACGUUUGAUAGGGUCAGUGGAAAACCAGUCCUGGCCACAUGCCCCUGAUUAUUGUGGCCUAGAGAGUGGCCAGGUAUGGUUUGAAUGUUACCUUUUGAGCACAUUUAAUUUCAGAAUUAGGUGAUGUCUGAGAAGCAGAAAGGCCCGCCCUUUGUCAUUUUUGCCUUUUUGUUAAGCUCAGUACUGAUGGGUGUGGUCUCCCAGGCUGUGAACUAGACGGAGCAGAACAGAAAAUGAAAGGCAGGGAACAGCUAGUUCCCAUUGCUAAUGGACAAAAUAAGAAAGUGUGUGAGAUACUCAACCACGCCAGCCAUGUCUCCUGUAGCCUCUUCCCCGUGGUAUUUCUUUCUCUGAUUUGCUCAGUGCAAUCUUCUUUCCAGUGAGGGUCACAGGGGGUCAGAGCCUGGGGUGGGGGGUGCAGGAGGCGCAAAGCCUAGGCAACGUCCAUAUUCUAAAGCCACUGGCAUGUGACAAGAUGAAGUGACCAAAACAAGGCUAUAAAGGAGUUCCCUUCCUGGCUCAGCAGUUAAGGAGCCUAACUAGGAUCCAAGAGGAUGAGGGUUCGAUCCCUGGCCUCACUUAGUGGGUUAAGGAUCCAGUGUUGCCGUGAGCUGUGGUGUAGGUCGAAGAUGUGGCUUGGAUCCCACGUUACUGUGGCAGUGGUGUAGGCCGGCAGCUACAGCUCCUACCUGACCCCUAGCCUGGGAAUCUCCAUAUGCCAUGGGUGCGGCUCUUAAAAAAAA
rnacentral:lncRNA from 1 species